UACAGAGGUGGCAAGCGUUGUUCGGAAUUACUGGGCGUAAAGGGCGCGUAGGCGGUCUUGCAAGUCCCGUGUGAAAGCCCCCGGCUCAACUGGGGAGGGUCAUUCGAUACUGAUCGACUCGAAGGCAGGAGAGGGUAGUGGAAUUCCCGGUGUAGUGGUGAAAUGCGCAGAUAUCAGGAGGAACACCGGUGGCGAAGGCGGGUCUCUGGGCCGAUACUGACGCUGAGGAGCGAAAGCGUGGGGAGCGAACAGG
rnacentral:rRNA from 1 species